ACGCUCGACACCUAACGGGAGGCCGCAGUGGGGAAGAUUGCACAAUGGGGGAAACCCUGAUGCAGCGACGCCGCGUGAGCGAAGAAGUAUUUCGGUAUGUAAAGCUCUAUCAGCAGGGAAGAAAGUGACGGUACCUGACUAAGAAGCACCGGCUAAAUACGUGCCAACAGCCGCGGUAAUCUGAGCGGGCUGGCAAGGC
rnacentral:rRNA from 1 species